rnacentral:rRNA from 1 species
GAUGAACGCUGGCGGCGUGCCUAAUACAUGCAAGUCGAGCGAACGGACGAGAAGCUUGCUUCUCUGAUGUUAUCGGCGGACGGGUGAGUAACACGUGGAUAACCUACCUAUAAGACUGGGAUAACUUCGGGAAACCGGAGCUAAUACCGGAUAAUAUUUUGAGCCGCAUGGUUCAAAAGUGAAAGACGGUCUUGCUGCCACUUAUAGAUGGAUCCGCGCUGCAUUAGCUAGUUGGUAAGGUAACGGCUUACCAAGGCAACGAUGCAUAGCCGACCUGAGAGGGUGAUCGGCCACACUGGAACUGAGACACGGUCCAGACUCCUACGGGAGGCAGCAGUAGGGAAUCUUCCGCAAUGGGCGAAAGCCUGACGGAGCAACGCCGCGUGAGUGAUGAAGGUCUUCGGAUCGUAAAACUCUGUUAUUAGGGAAGAACAUAUGUGUAAGUAACUGUGCACAUCUUGACGGUACCUAAUCAGAAAGCCACGGCUAACUACGUG